GGCGAUUCUCAUAUAAGGAGAUCAGCCAGCUGCGCAGGACAUAUUAUAGUGCACGAGCAUUUGCUUGGACACAGGUGCACUCACUAUUCCUUCACUCUCAUAGCGCGAUGGGACGACAAUCCGACACCACCGGAGAGAGAUCAGGCGCAGGACCGACAUUAACGUGCUCUCCGAUGUAUUGCUUCUUCAAUACUCAAUACUUAAUAUAAUAUAACUGUUUCCAGCUAGGUUUCGGUGUCUACGGCCCUGGUUGCCAGGCUCCCGCUAGGUUCUUGGACUAUGGGAAGUACCACGACUGGGUAACGACCAGUGUGAAGAGGAUCGGCAGACCAGCCAUCACCACGCUCGGGGACAAUCAUCUCAUCUUGAGGAGAUCUCUGGGACACAUGCAAAGGUAUGGUCCCUGCGAUAGAGAGGAGACCACCCGAGAACUAUACACCGACAGCACAGUUAUACCAUAUCGUCAAAGCGGCGUUGUGAGACAUAACGUUACCCUAAUUGGUACCCUAGAGUACUCCUGCGUAAUUAUCAGGGCUCAAUACUCCAAAAUGACUAGAGACACCCCAAAGAUCAGGCUGCGAAGGUACUGUCUUGGAGAGGCAAAAUUCUGUUACGGAUUCCAAUAUGCCGAAAUACAUUUCUUUGUGGAAAUAACCUUUCAGUUUGAAGUAAGUUUCGGAGUGCAAGCGUAUGGCAGGCAAGCCAUAGCUAUUGAUCCGAAGAGGGCAAUAAAAUACCUGAACGGCUUCAGAGAAUAUCCUAAUAUUCCUGAAUAUGAACGGGUGAAAAAUGAAUCAGAAACUACACUUAAGAGCAGGGAGUAUCCCUGGUUCGGUAAUCUUUGAGACCGAUAUGAUUAUUUUUGAUUAUGAAAGAUGUUCAAUCAGUUUAGCCUACCAUCAUCCUCCGAGCAUUUUUCCCAAACUACAUAUAUUGGGGUCGGCUUCCAGUCUAACCGGAUGUAGCUGAGUACCAGUGCUUUACAAGAAGCGACUGCCUAUCUGAUCUCCACAACCCAGUUACCCGGGCAACACGAUACCCCUUGGUUAGACUGGUGUCAGACUUACUGGCUUCUGUUUAGUUUAGCCUAUAGUGUGCGGUUAUUUAUGUAUCUGUUUAUCUGUGCGUCAGUUGUCAAUUCGCACGAUUUAACGGGCACGACCCGGGAAUCGAAUACGAGGCCUCUUGCACAGCAGUCGAGUUACCGACAACUAGACCAUAAGGCAGUCUAAAAAAUCCUUAUACAUAUGUGUAUAGCAAUUGAGUCAUUAUAUUAAGUAUAGUUAUCGGCACGAAUCUUGAGCUCUGACCUACAUCUGCGCAGAAGUGAUUUAUUAGCAAAGAACCAAUCCCGAGUGACGGCUAUGACGCGAUGCACUGCGGGCCAAUCACCGCUUUAGACCGCCCCUGCGCCUCACUUCACACCACAAAAGGGACCCAAUAAAUUACUUUUACGCAGGUGAAGGUCAGAGCUCAAGAUUCGUGCCGAUAACUAUAAGUGUUAGCUUUGU